UACGUAGGGGGCUAGCGUUGUCCGGAAUCAUUGGGCGUAAAGCGCGUGUAGGCGGUUCGGUAAGUCCGCUGUGAAAGUCAGGGGCUCAACCCUCGAAUGCCGGUGGAUACUGUCGGACUAGAGUACGGAAGAGGCGAGUGGAAUUCCUGGUGUAGCGGUGAAAUGCGCAGAUAUCAGGAGGAACACCGGUGGCGAAGGCGGGUCUCUGGGCCGUAACUGACGCUGAGGAGCGAAAGCAUGGGGAGCGAACAGG
rnacentral:rRNA from 1 species